ACUCCUACGGGAGGCAGCAGUGGGGAAUAUUGCACAAUGGGCGCAAGCCUGAUGCAGCGACGCCGCGUGAGGGAUGACGGCCUUCGGGUUGUAAACCUCUUUCAGCCUUGACGAAGCCCUUUUGGGGUGACGGUAGGGGCAGAAGAAGCACCGGCUAACUACGUGCCAGCAGCCGCGGUAAUACGUAGGGUGCGAGCGUUGUCCGGAAUUAUUGGGCGUAAAGAGCUUGUAGGCGGUUUGUCGCGUCUGCUGUGAAAGCCCGGGGCUUAACUCCGGGUCUGCAGUGGGUACGGGCAGGCUAGAGUGUGGUAGGGGAGACUGGAAUUCCUGGUGUAGCGGUGGAAUGCGCAGAUAUCAGGAGGAACACCGAUGGCGAAGGCAGGUCUCUGGGCCAUGACUGACGCUGAGAAGCGAAAGCGUGGGGAGCGAACAGGAUUAGAUACCCUGGUAGUCCACGCCGUAAACGUUGGGCGCUAGGUGUGGGUCCCAUUCCACGGGGUCCGUGCCGCAGCUAACGCAUUAAGCGCCCCGCCUGGGGAGUACGGCCGCAAGGCUAAAACUCAAAGGAAUUGACGGGGGCCCGCACAAGCGGCGGAGCAUGCGGAUUAAUUCGAUGCAACGCGAAGAACCUUACCAAGGCUUGACAUACACCGGACGAUCGCAGAGAUGUGGUUU
rnacentral:rRNA from 1 species